rnacentral:rRNA from 1 species
UUCCGGUUGAUCCUGCCGGACCCGACUGCUAUCAGAGUGGGACUAAGCCAUGCGAGUCAACAUAGCAAUAUGUGGCAUACGGCUCAGUAACACGUAGUCAACAUGCCCAGGGGACGUGGAUAACCUCGGGAAACUGAGGAUAAACCGCGAUAAGUCACUGCUUCUGGAAUGGGCAAUGACUUAAAUCUAUAUGGCCCCUGGAUUGGACUGCGGCCGAUCAGGCUGUUGGUGAGGUAAUGGCCCGCCAAACCUGUAACCGGUACGGGCUCUGAGAGGAGGAGCCCGGAGAUGGGCACUGAGACAAGGGCCCAGGCCCUAUGGGGCGCAGCAGGCGCGAAACCUCUGCAAUAGGCGAAAGCCUGACAGGGUUACUCUGAGUGAUUUCCGUUAAGGAGAUCUUUUGGCACCUCUAAAAAUGGUGCAGAAUAAGGGGUGGGCAAGUCUGGUGUCAGCCGCCGCGGUAAUACCAGCACCCCGAGUGGUCGGGACGUUUAUUGAGCCUAAAGCAUCCGUAGCCGGUUCUGCAAGUCUUCCGUUAAAUCCACCUGCUUAACAGAUGGGCCGCGGAAGAUACUAUAGAGCUAGGAGGCGGGAGAGGCAAGCGGUACUCGAUGGGUAGGGGUAAAAUCCGUUGAUCCAUUGAAGACCACCAGUGGCGAAGGCGGCUUGCCAGAACGCGCUCGACGGUGAGGGAUGAAAGCUGGGGGAGCAAACCGGAUUAGAUACCCGGGUAGUCCCAG